CAAUUUAACGGAAGUUUUCGGAUGGAAGUUGAAUUGACUGAGUGGCGGACGGGUGAGUAACGCGUGGGUAACCUGCCUUGUACUGGGGGACAACAGUUAGAAAUGACUGCUAAUACCGCAUAAGCGCACAGUAUCGCAUGAUACAGUGUGAAAAACUCCGGUGGUACAAGAUGGACCCGCGUCUGAUUAGCUAGUUGGUAAGGUAACGGCUUACCAAGGCGACGAUCAGUAGCCGACCUGAGAGGGUGACCGGCCACAUUGGGACUGAGACACGGCCCAAACUCC
rnacentral:rRNA from 1 species